rnacentral:rRNA from 1 species
GACGAACGCUGGCGGCGUGCUUAACACAUGCAAGUCGAGCGGUAAGGCCCUUUCGGGGGUACACGAGCGGCGAACGGGUGAGUAACACGUGGGUGACCUGCCCUCAGCUCUGGGAUAAGCCUGGGGAAACUGGGUCGUAAUAACUGGAUAUGACUCCACGGUGCAUGUCGUGGGGUGGAAAGCCUUGUGCGGCUGAGGAUGGGCCCGCGGCCUAUCAGCUUGUUGGUGGGGUGA